rnacentral:rRNA from 1 species
CCCUUAGAUGUUCUGGGCCGCACGCGCGUUACAAUGAAUCGUUCAACAGGUUUUCUUCCUGAGUCGAAAGGCUUGGGUAAUCCUUUAAAUACGGUUCGUGCUAGGGAUAGAUUUUUGCAAUUAUUAAUCUUGAACGAGGAAUAUUUAGUAAACGCAGGUCAUCAGCCUGCAUUGAUUACGUCCCUGCCCUUUGUACACACCGCCCGUCGCACCAACCGAUUGGAUGUUUUGUUGAAAUAUUUGGAUGUUUUUUGAGUGGAUUAAUUUUCGCUCGAUAGACAGAAACGUAUUAAAACUGAAUAUAUAGAGGAUGGUGAAGUCGUAACA